rnacentral:rRNA from 1 species
AUCGAACGCUGGCGGCAGGCCUAACACAUGCAAGUCGAGCGAGCGGCGGACGGGUGAGUAAUGUAUGGGGACUGCCCGAUAGAGGGGGAUAACUACUGGAAACGGUGGCUAAUACCGCAUACUAUCGGAUAACCCAUAUGGGAUUAGCUAGUAGGUGGGGUAAAGGCUCACCUAGGCGACGAUCUCUAGCUGGUCUGAGAGGAUGAUCAGCCGAGCGGUGGAUGAGACACGGCCCAGACUCCUAGGGAGGCGGCAGGGGGGAUUAUUGCAGAAUGGGCACAAGCCUGAUGCGGCUAUCCCGCGUGUAUGAAGAGGGCCUUAGGGUUGUAAGGUAGUUUCAGCGGGGAGUCGUUACCCGCAGAGGAAGAGCCUGCUAACUCCGUGCCAGCAGCCGCGGUAAUUC